UUGCUCCAGGCGUCGAGCGGCGGACGGGUGAGUAACGCGUAGGAAUCUGCCCAAUAGAGGGGGAUAGCCCGGGGAAACCCGGAUUAAUACCGCAUACGCCCCACGGGGGAAAGGCCGGGAUCUUCGGACCGGUCACUAUUGGAUGAGCCUGCGUAGGAUUAGCUAGUUGGUGAGGUAAAGGCUCACCAAGGCGACGAUCCUUAGCCGGCCUGAGAGGGCGACCGGCCACACUGGGACUGAGACACGGCCCAGACUCC
rnacentral:rRNA from 1 species